GCCCGGGUGGCUGAGUCCGUGAAGUGUCUGGCUUCGGCUCAGGUCAUGAUCUCCGGCUCGUGGGUUCGAGCCCCACGUCAGGCU
rnacentral:tRNA from 1 species